rnacentral:rRNA from 1 species
ACUGAAUAGAUACCCGGGUAGUCCACGCUGUAAACGAUGAUUACUCGAUGUUGGCGAUACACAGUCAGCGUCUGAGCGAAAGCAAUAAGUAAUCCACCUGGGGAGUACGAUCGCAAGAUUGAAACUCAAAGGAAUUGACGGGGGCCCGCACAAGCGGAGGAGCAUGUGGUUUAAUUCGAUGAUACGCGAGGAACCUUACCUGGGCUCGAACGUAAGAUGACUGUAGGUGAAAGCUUACAUCUCUUCGGAGCAUUUUACGAGGUGCUGCAUGGUUGUCGUCAGCUCGUGCCGUGAGGUGUCGGGUUAAGUCCCAUAACGAGCGCAACCCCUACCUUUAGUUGCCAACAGGUCAUGCUGGGGACUCUAAAGGAACUGCCUACGCAAGUAGUGAGGAAGGCGGGGAUGACGUCAAAUCAGCACGGCCCUUACGUCCAGGGCUACACACGUGCUACAAUGGCCGAUACAGAGGGCAGCUACCUGGUGACAGGAUGCAAAUCUCCAAAGUCGGUCUCAGUUCGGA